rnacentral:rRNA from 1 species
AGUGAACGCUGGCGGUAGGCCUAACACAUGCAAGUCGAACGGUAGCACAGAGGAGCUUGCUCCUUGGGUGACGAGUGGCGGACGGGUGAGGAAUGCAUCGGAAUCUACUCUUUCGUGGGGGAUAACGUAGGGAAACUUACGCUAAUACCGCAUACGACCUACGGGUGAAAGCAGGGGACCUUCUAGGCCUUGCGCGAUUGAAUGAGCCGAUGUCCGAUUAGCUAGUUGGCGGGGUAAUGGCCCACCAAGGCGACGAUCGGUAGCUGGUCUGAGAGGAUGAUCAGCCACACUGGAACUGAGACACGGUCCAGACUCCUACGGGAGGCAGCAGUGGGGAAUAUUGGACAAUGGGCGCAAGCCUGAUCCAGCCAUACCGCGUGGGUGAAGAAGGCCUUCGGGUUGUAAAGCCCUUUUGUUGGGAAAGAAAAGCAGCCGGCUAAUACCCGGUUGUUCUGACGGUACCCAAAGAAUAAGCACCGGCUAACUUCGUG